AGUAAUGCCUAGGAAUCUGCCUGGUAGUGGGGGACAACGUUUCGAAAGGAACGCUAAUACCGCAUACGUCCUACGGGAGAAAGCAGGGGACCUUCGGGCCUUGCGCUAUCAGAUGAGCCUAGGUCGGAUUAGCUAGUUGGCGGGGUAAAGGCCCACCAAGGCGACGAUCCGUAGCUGGUCUGAGAGGAUGAUCAGUCACACUGGAACUGAGACACGGUCCAGACUCCUACGGGAGGCAGCAGAC
rnacentral:rRNA from 1 species